rnacentral:rRNA from 1 species
AGAGUUUGAUUAUGGCUCAGAUUGAACGCUGGCGGCAGGCCUAAUACAUGCAAGUCGAACGGUAACAUAGGAAAAGCUUGCUUUUUCUGAUGACGAGUGGCGGACGGGUGAGUAAUAUUUGGGAAGCUACCUGAUAGAGGGGGACAACAGUUGGAAACGACUGCUAAUACCGCGAUACAGCCUGAGGGUGAAAGCAGCGAUGCGCUAUCAGAUGCGCCCAAAUGGGAUUAGCUAGUAGGUGAGGUAAAGGCUCACCUAGGCGACGAUCUCUAGCUGGUCUGAGAGGAUGAUCAGCCACAUUGGGACUGAGACACGGCCCAGACUCCUACGGGAGGCAGCAGUAGGGAAUAUUGCACAAUGGAGGAAACUCUGAAUGCAGCCAUGCCGCGUGUGUGAAGAAGGCCUUCGGGUUGUAAAGCACUUUCGGAGGGGAGGAGAAUGACGUUACCCUCAGAAGAAGCACCGGCUAACUCCGUGCCAGCCGCCGC